rnacentral:rRNA from 1 species
UGGGGAAUAUUGGACAAUGGGCGCAAGCCUGAUCCAGCCAUGCCGCGUGAGUGAUGAAGGCCUUAGGGUUGUAAAGCUCUUUUAGCGGGGAAGAUAAUGACGGUACCCGCAGAAAAAGCCCCGGCUAACUUCGUGCCAGCAGCCGCGGUAAUACGAAGGGGGCUAGCGUUGCUCGGAAUUACUGGGCGUAAAGCGCACGUAGGCGGACUCUUAAGUCGGUGGUGAAAUCCUGGAGCUCAACUCCAGAACUGCCUUCGAUACUGGGAGUCUUGAGUUCGGGAGAGGUGAGUGGAAAUGCGAGUGUAGAGGUGAAAUUCGUAGAUAUUCGCAAGAACACCAGUGGCGAAGGCGGCUCACUGGCCCGAUACUGACGCUGAGGU